UACGUGAGGGGCUAGCGUUGUCCGGAUUUAUUGGGCGUAAAGCGCGUGUAGGCAGCUGAGCAAGUCGGGAUGUGAAAGCCCUGGGCUCAACCUAGGAAGUGCAUUCGAAACUGCUGAGCUUGAGUUCUGGAGAGGAAGGCGGAAUUCGUCGGUGUAGAGGUGAAAUUCGUAGAUAUCGGGAGGAACACCGGUGGCGAAGGCGGCCCGCUGGGCAGGAAGACACCGCAAGGUGUCGGCUGACGCUGAGGCGCGACAGCGUGGGGAGCAAACAGG
rnacentral:rRNA from 1 species